rnacentral:rRNA from 1 species
GACGAACGCUGGCGGCGUGCUUAACACAUGCAAGUCGAACGGUGAAAGUGGAGCUUGCUCCGCUGGAUCAGUGGCGAACGGGUGAGUAACACGUGAGUAACCUGCCCUUGACUCUGGGAUAACUGCGGGAAACUGUAGCUAAUACCGGAUACGACCCUCGGAGGCAUCGCCAGGGGGUGGAAAGAAUUUCGGUAAAGGAUGGACUCGCGGCCUAUCAGCUAGUUGGUGAGGUAACGGCUCACCAAGGCUACGACGGGUAGCCGGCCUGAGAGGGUGACCGGCCACACUGGGACUGAGACACGGCCCAGACUCCUACGGGAGGCAGCAGUGGGGAAUAUUGCACAAUGGGCGCAAGCCUGAUGCAGCAACGCCGCGUGAGGGAUGACGGCCUUCGGGUUGUAAACCUCUUUUAGUAGGGAAGAAGCGAAAGUGACGGUACCUGCAGAAAAAGCACCGGCUAACUACGUGCCAGCAGCCGCCGCCG